UGCACUGAGAAACUACACUUCCCAGGAUUCCAGCGUGUUAGUGAGUGCGCAUGCGCGAACAGGUCUUGCUUCGUCUCUAUGAUAUCCCUCGAAUGCCGUGGUAGGACUUGGUAUUGGCGCGGCGUUUGAAGACCGGAAGUGAAGUGACACGUUGUUAAAAGGAAACGAGUAGAAUGUUUUUGCUGGAGGCCGUGACUGCUUGUUUUUGGGACAGAGCUGGUGCAGCUGUUUAACUGCAGGAGCCUGACCUUCAUGCAAUUGAGAGACAAGCAACAGUAAAUAGACAGAAAGCAGAGAAGCUCUGAGAGAAUGAAACCAGCACAAAGAAACUGUGGAAGUAAACCUGUGAAGACACUAAGAAGCGGCAGGCCUUCUAGCACAGGGCCAUUGGGGAAAUAAAAGAACAGCCGCUCAGGUACAAGCUAAAAGUCCCAAUGCAAGUACAGUUGACCAUUUUCAAUGAGAUACAAAGAUGAGUAAGAGGACGUCAAUAGAAAGGCCAACAAGAAAAUGUUGAGGGUUGGAAAGGUGUCUGCGCCCUCUGCUGACAUAGAAGAAAACAGCAGACUGAGUCAAGCCAGUAACUUUUCUUUAGCAGAUCCAGAUUGUUCCAAAACAUCUGCCAGCAGUAAUGAAGACAAUUGGAGCCGGACUAAGUUAUCUUGGACAUUGUCUCUGGAAGUUGCUUCAUUCCAUAACUUGAGCCUCCCAGGGGGCAGCAGAGCUGGGAAAUUUUUGAUAAAAUGCACAGACUUUCAGUGAUCACUUUUCGACGACUACCAUCUUUACGGGCAGUUUCCUGGCGAGCGAGAAGGCAGAUUCAAGCAUAAUUUAGGUUAUACAACUGGCUCGAUAAAGUCAGAACCAAAAAAAGGAGUCCUGUGCCAGAAACAGAAGGCAAAUGAGUUUAAAAAGAAAACUCUGGAGAAGCUGAGAUAAAGGAAGAAAUAACUUUGCUCUGAAGAACGGAGUCUGUCCCCUUUGGACCAAGGAUUAAAGAAAAAAAAAAUGUGUUACAUUCAAAACUAAAAAAUAG